rnacentral:misc_RNA from 1 species
GGAAGUAAAAGUCGCAACAAGGUCUCCGUUGGUGAACCAGCGGAGGGAUCGUUACUGGAAUCGCAAGAUCCCACAACCCCUGUGAACCUACCGAAACGUUGCCUCGGCGGGCGCCCGGCCCCGCGCCGGGCGCUGAGCCCGCCGGCGGCCCCCUACUCUUGUCUCUGCAGCGUGGCAACUCAGAGUCCCAGAAAACAAGUAAAAACUUUCAACAACGGAUCUCUUGGCUCUA